rnacentral:rRNA from 1 species
UACGAAGGGGGCUAGCGUUGCUCGGAAUUACUGGGCGUAAAGGGCGCGUAGGCGGAUAUUUAAGUUGGGGGUGAAAUCCCGGGGCUCAACCUCGGAAUUGCCUUCAAAACUGGAUAUCUUGAGUUCGGGAGAGGUGAGUGGAACUCCGAGUGUAGAGGUGAAAUUCGUAGAUAUUCGGAAGAACACCAGUGGCGAAGGCGACAUCACUGGCCCGAUACUGACGCUGAGGCGCGAAAGCGU